rfam:Felis catus isolate Cinnamon breed Abyssinian chromosome D2, whole genome shotgun sequence.
GCCUGGGUGGCUCAGUCAGUUGAGCAUCUGACUUCAGCUCAGGUCAUGAUCUCGUGGUCUGUGAGCUCAAGCCCCGCGUCAGGCU